rnacentral:rRNA from 1 species
UACGGAGGGUGCGAGCGUUGUCCGGAAUCACUGGGCGUAAAGAGCUCGUAGGCGGUCUGUUGCGUCGGCUGUGAAAACCCGGGGCUCAACUCCGGGCCUGCAGCCGAUACGGGGAGACUAGAGUUCGGCAGGGGAGACUGGAAUUCCUGGUGUAGCGGUGAAAUGCGCAGAUAUCAGGAGGAACACCGGUGGCGAAGGCGGGUCUCUGGGCCGAUACUGACGCUGAGGAGCGAAAGCGUGGGGAGCAAACAGG